ACGAACGCUGGCGGCAGGCCUAACACAUGCAAGUCGAACGCCGUAGCAAUACGGAGUGGCAGACGGGUGAGUAACACGUGGGAACGUACCCUUCGGUUCGGAAUAACUCAGGGAAACUUGAGCUAAUACCGGAUACGUCCGUAAGGAGAAAGAUUUAUCGCCGAGGGAUCGGCCCGCGUCUGAUUAGCUUGUUGGUGAGGUAACGGCUCACCAAGGCGACGAUCAGUAGCUGGUCUGAGAGGAUGAUCAGCCACAUUGGGACUGAGACACGGCCCAAACUCCUACGGGAGCAGCAGUGGGGAAUAUUGGACAAUGGGCGCAAGCCUGAUCCAGCCAUGCCGCGUGAGUGAUGAAGGCCUUAGGGUUGUAAAGCUCUUUUACUCGGGAAGAUAAUGACGGUACCGAGAGAAUAAGCCCCGGCUAACUUCGUGCCAGCAGCCGCCGUAAG
rnacentral:rRNA from 1 species